rnacentral:rRNA from 1 species
CAGCCGCCGCGGUAAUACGAGGGGAGCUAGCGUUAUUCGGAGUUACUGGGCGUAAAGCGCACGUAGGCGGCUUUGUAAGUUAGAGGUGAAAGCCCAGAGCUCAACUCUGGAAUUGCCUUUAAGACUGCAUCGCUUGAAUCCAGGAGAGGUGAGUGGAAUUCCGAGUGUAGAGGUGAAAUUCGUAGAUAUUCGGAAGAACACCAGUGGCGAAGGCGGCUCACUGGACUGGUAUUGACGCUGAGGUGCGAAAGCGUGGGGAGCAAACAGGAUUAGAUACCCCCGUAGUCCCUGUCUCUUAUAC